AAAUCAAAUUAAUCAAGACAUGAAGCAAAUGUGCAGAAGGCUGCCUGUGCACGAUGGUGCCUAUAUGUGGGAGAUGGGGGUAAUUUUUAAACUUUCUUUUGUGUCCAGACCACCUGAAAUCAGUUUUAAAUCCAGACAAUUAUGUGCUUUCCCCCACUGUGACUAGGUCACAGAAGAAGAUGACAACUUACUCUGCUGGCUUUUCCUUUGUAGGUGGAAGCAUUGCUGGAUGACGGAGUUGGUCAACUGAGUGGGGCAGAGAGAACCUUUCUCCAGGGCCACAGAUGUCUUAGUUUUGGUCUACAUGUCAAGCUGAAGCAGGAACAAAAAAGGGAAGCCUCUUUGCUAUGCAGAACGCCAUCACUUUAUUAACUCCAAACACAAGACUAAGGGCCACUUGUCUUUAAACCCUGAGUCUUGAGGCUUUAAGGAGGACACCAGCACCCUGUUCACAUUGACCUACUUUAUCUGGGAGCCAUUUCCAUUUGACAAUGAGGACAUGAAACUCAGAGGUCUCAGAAGCCUUAUAGGAGCUUGUCAACCUUUCUCCUGAGAGCUGGCUUCACUGUAUGGCUAUUCCAGCUGGUGUUAUGUGAUGGUUGUAUCAGGCCGCUGGUGGGAUAAUUCUGCAUCCCCUUAAUCAGGUGAGAGCUCUACAUGGCCACAGUUAUAAACAUUAAUGGAAAGGCCCUACCUCUCAGGUGCUCUAUUAUUUGAGCAUGAAGGGUUAUUAUAGUAAGAAAGAAGGAAUACUUUCCUGAUGGGGAUUUUCAUGCUGGUAAAUUGGCUAUUUAGACUCAAAUUCAUAUCAUUACUAAUUGGUGCUAGGAUUUUUGUUCUGAGCUGUGCAUAUGCUAAGUAGCCAUUUUCCCUCCUUGUAUAAUUAUGGAUUAACACUCUCAUUUUACCUCCUGAAAGACAGAAAUGGUUGUCUUACCUCAGGAGAAAAUACCUCACCCAGUAAUUAUAGCUGGAGACAUUGGUACCACGCAGCUGACCUUUUAGCAAGCUGUGGACAGAACCAUGAA
rnacentral:sRNA from 1 species